UGCUUUCAAAACUGGGAUUAGAUACCCCACUAUGCUUAGCCCUAAACUCAAAUAGUUUAUCAGACAAAACUAUUCGCCAGAGCACUACUAGCAAUAGCCUAAAACUCAAAGGACUUGGCGGUGCUUUAUACCCCUCUAGAGGAGCCUGUUCUAUAAUCGAUAAACCCCGAUAAACCCUACCAAUUCUCGCUAAUACAGCCUAUAUACCGCCAUCUUCAGCAAACCCUAAAAAGGAAACACAGUAAGCAAAAUUAUAAAAACAUAAAUACGUUAGGUCAAGGUGUAGCCUAUGAAUUGGAAAGAAAUGGGCUACAUUUUCUAAAACAGAACACAAACGAACACCCUAAUGAAAACGAGGGUUAAAGGAGGAUUUAGCAGUAAGCUAAGAAUAGAAAGCUCAGGGUGAAC
rnacentral:rRNA from 1 species